ACGUAGGGACCAAGCGUUGUCCGGAAUCAUUGGGCGUAAAGAGCGUGUAGGCGGCUUGUUAAGUCUUGCGUGAAAUCUCGGGGCUCAACCCCGAGCGGUCGUGAGAAACUGGCAGGCUAGAGUGCGGGAGAGGAGAGUGGAAUUCCUGGUGUAGCGGUGAAAUGCGCAGAUAUCAGGAAGAACACCCGUGGCGAAGGCGGCUCUCUGGAACGCAACUGACGCUGAGACGCGAAAGCGUGGGGAGCAAACAGGA
rnacentral:rRNA from 1 species